rnacentral:sRNA from 1 species
CUAUAGAGGACUGUAAAUUGCUGUCUGUGUGCAGGGAAAGGACUGUUUUCUCUGUCCAUAACUAAAUCUGAGGGACUAUGCAUAACUAAAUCCAAGUGACUGUGCAUGCUGUUCUAUGUGGAUAGAGGUGCUUCUGGCCAAUUUGUGGGUGAUGACAUUUUCAGCGAGUGAAGAAAUUCAACUAGAAGGGCUUAUCUGUGUUUUACUAGGCAGCUUUGAAUUAAAAAAAAAAAUCAGCAUUGAUGUCAGAGGAAAUCUUAGUGCUGGUUGUUUAAAAUGCACCCCAGAGAAAACUUGAAAAAUUCAACAUUGCACAAAUCCUGGGAAAAUAU